rnacentral:rRNA from 1 species
UACGGAGGGUGCGAGCGUUGUCCGGAAUUAUUGGGCGUAAAGGGCGCGUAGGCGAUUCAGUAAGUCUUAUGUGAAAGCCCAGAGCUUAACUCUGGAAGUGCACGAGAUACUGCUGAAAUUGAGUUCCGGAGAGGAAGGCAGAAUUCCCGGUGUAGCGGUGAAAUGCGUAGAUAUCGGGAGGAAUACCAGUGGCGAAGGCGGCCUUCUGGACGGAUACUGACGCUGAGGCGCGAAAGCCAGGGGAGCAAACGGG